CAGGAUUGACCUCAGUGGAUUUCAAAUGUCUCUGCAGUUGAAACACUUCCACUAAAAUAUUUUUGCCAGAAAACUCAUUCUUUUUACCAUUUAUGUAAAAUUAUGUGUGUGUCUGUACAUAGCCACAGAGGGCUAUGAAGAGAGAAUGCCAGCAGGCUCUCCAGCAUCAUCCACUAACACUUUCUAAGAUGACAGAAAUGUGCUACAUCUGCACUGUCCAAAACAGUAGCCGUGAGCCUCCUGAGCUGCUGAGCACUUGGAAUAUGAGUAAAAGUCUUUGCUGGUGCAUCAGAUUGGCAGAGCAUAGAUCACAUGUCUGUGCCCUAGCUGCAAGGGAGUCUAGGUAAGCAAGCCCUCUUCUAACACUUUCAGCUUCUGUUGGGAAGGUGACCAAAAGUUGGGAGCUCCCUGCAAAUAAAAAUGAACUUCAUGUGCUGGGCAGCCAAAAACAAAAGAUUUUUAAAAUAUACAAUAAAUGCCAUUUAAACUAGGGAAAGGCUGGGGAGAAAGGGAAACUAAUGUAAAAUUUUUAAGUAGACCUGGAUUCUGGACUCAUUAAAUACAUUUUAGGGGUAACUAGCUCUCUGAAACCUUGUUUUUGUAUCUGAAAUCAAAGUGUUGAAUCAGAUGAACUCUCUGGAUGUUGAUGCUGUGAAAUGUCACAUUCUCAGAUCAUCUCUGUGGUUGGCAUGACUUGAAACAAAGAAAAAGAAGAUCCCAUAAUUACGCUGAAAAAAUUAUUAUUUUUAUCUUAAGUCACCCCAAAAUUUGUAUUUAGAAAUGGACAAGGUAAACAUUUUUAUAGGAAUUUUUAUUUCUUCCUUUAAAGUAACUUGUCAGUAUUAUACUGUUGGUUAUUGGAUUUGAGAGAAGACCUUCUCUCUCCAGACCCAAAGCCAGUCAUCUUGUGUGCUCUGAAAUGGACCAGACUAUUUUUAAAAGGGAGAGAAAGAGGUGCCAUGAGGUGAUAAAAGGGACAAAAAAAGGUAGACUUUGUUUCUAUAAAAGUUUUUUGGAACAUGAUAGCUUUUUUCAUGUCAGCCAUACUCAGAGAUAAGUGGGAAAAACUCCUGUCUAGUUCUCCCACAUCUGCCAUGAAAGUUACUAGGGUUCUUAUAGGCUUUUCUUCUGAAUUACUAUAGCAUAUAUUUAGGAUUAUCCCUAUUUCAUCUGAAAGUUUUUAUUUAAAUGUACUGCUUGUUUGCACAUGUUUGUUUAAGUUUUGCUGAAAUCUUAAGUAUCAUUCUGUGACUUCUUAAUUUCUCUUCCUGUGGGGGGUGUUUCUCUUACUUCAUAAACUGAAGACAGGGCUUUCCAAAAAUGUUCACAUCCAAGCACUCAUAAAAAUUGUAUUUGUAUCUGAGGUUACUUCAGAUCCUGAGUUGUCCUGGGGACUCCAGCCUAACCACCCUGAAAACUGAGGGCACCAAUGAUGCUGCCAUCUGUCACUUUCGUGGUUCACCAGUGUGUGAGGCACUCCUCAGAAAACUCUGGCCUAAGCCCAUGGGAAAAAUUAAGUUUGAUAUACCAAAGCAGUCUUUACAUACAGUUUUCCAGGGAUGGGUCUGCUAAAGCAUGCAAUAUAUCAGAAAGGAUAGGUUUCAUGACAGUGAAGAGAAUGGCGGACUAGCCCAGAGGUCUGUUUCAGUGAACUGAAAUGGAUGAGGAAGCUGAGGCCCAGAGAGAUAAGUGACUUGGCCUAGGUCACACAGCCACUUGGCAGCAGGCCAGGCCGAGAUUGCCAGGUGAAGAACCCUCUAUCAUUUAGAAGAGGUUUGGCCUCAAACUUAAGCAUUGAUAUCAAAUGCAUUUUAGAAUCUUGGAGUUUUAUUUUUAUCUAAUAAUAGAAUUCUGCAAAUUAUAAUCUUGGGAUUUACCCAAGCAAUUAGUUCAAUGAUUCUUUUGUAAAGUUUGUAGACACUGGGGUUAAAAAGGAACGAAACAGUACUUUAUUUUAAGCAGCUUAAUUAAUGUCUUUAGCUACUCCAUCUAUUUAUCACUUUAUUCUAGAGUGUUUUUGCAAUGCCCAAUUCUUUGGCAGUGCAUAGAGAAACACAGUUAUUAAUUACUAUUAUCAUAAUCACUUCACAAAACAAUAAGUACUCAUACUUCCUAGGAUUGAAAGUUUCACACCAACAUUCCUCCAAGAUAAGCAUCUUUAGAGUAAAAUAUUCAUAUGAAUCAUCAAGAGCUAUUAUUAAACGCUUUUCAGAGUUUCUGAGUCAUUACCUUAAAGAUUUAACUUAGGUUUACUUUGAGAGGAAAAUGGAAGGCUAGCAUUUAAUAUCUUUUCUUCUCCUGUAAGAAGUGCUGGUUCUUGACUAGGCCUCCGUGGGCGGCCUUCCCUACCACUCUUAUGGGGGAAGUAGACUCAGAGGUGCAUUGUGUCUAUAAGGAACAUGUUCAGGCCUCUUCCUCUUUCUGUUAAGGUGGUAUACGAGAAUGGGCUGCUGGUUCCCUUCCCCUAAAUUUACUGCAGAUAGCUCCAGAAGCAGAUGCAAUCAAAGCUCUGAGGAAAUUAUCAGUGACACCCAAAAGGGUGAGAAUGCCCUGGAGAGACAGAAGGCUGUCUAGCGUAGGAGUGUGAGGAAUGAGCGGUGGCAGGCUGGGGCAGACAGCUGGGCAUGUGCAGCAGGCAGAGGGGAUAGUGGAGGAAAGCCUUUGGGUUCUGCCUUUUCCUCUUCACUGCCUGGCUUUAAAUGAAUCCUUGCUGGUCCCUUUGCAAUUGAAACUGGCAGCAUCAACGCAGGCUGCUAGUGUUGUCAGGGUGCAUAAAUGUACUGCAAAAACCCUGUUGGGAUGAGGGUUGAUGAAAACAGGACUGGCCAGCUGAUAUUUAACAUCCACUCAUCCACCUCUUCCACAUCAAACUCCCUGGGAUGGCAGAUUUUAAUCUAGGUGACUAUUGCCCACAGGAGUUGCCCGGCAGAGUGGUACCAAAAAUAGUAGCCUAUCGAAUUCUGUGGUAUCUGGAGCAUCCAGCUCUGGGGUUUAUUCCUUCUCUGUUCUUAAACUCACAUGGAGGGAUUCAGCUCCUGCUUAAAACACAUUACCAGGCAGGGUAGAUUAAAACAGAAACAUGAUUUCCCAGGGUAAUAUAACUGUCUCCUAAAGACAACAAACGUUGACUGGAACUUAUAGAGCAAGAGCUUAAAUAAACAACAAAUAUAACUUAAAGUGAGAAUGUAUUAGCAAUCUGAAGCAGGAAAAGAAUGUUUCAGAGGUAUAUACAUAUGUGAACAUUUAUCAAAUUGUACACUUUAAAUAUGUGCAGUUUAUUUUAUGCAAAGUAUACCACAAUGAAGCUGUUAAAAAGAAAACUAACCACUUACUCACAAAAUAAAAUGCAAAUCUAACAAUA